rnacentral:rRNA from 1 species
AGCGAACGCUGGCGGCAGGCUUAACACAUGCAAGUCGAGCGGGCAUCCUUGUGGUGUCAGCGGCAGACGGGUGAGUAACGCGUGGGAACGUGCCCUUCGGUUCGGAAUAACUCAGGGAAACUUGAGCUAAUACCGGAUACGUGCGAGAGCAGAAAGGUUUAUCUGCCGAAGGAUCGGCCCGCGUCUGAUUAGCUAGUUGGUGAGGUCACGGCUCACCAAGGCGACGAUCAGUAGCUGGUCUGAGAGGAUGAUCAGCCACACUGGGACUGAGACACGGCCCAGACUCCUACGGGAGGCAGCAGUGGGGAAUAUUGGACAAUGGGGGCAACCCUGAUCCAGCCAUGCCGCGUGAGUGAUGACGGCCUUAGGGUUGUAAAGCUCUUUUCUCCGGGACGAUAAUGACGGUACCGGAGGAAUAAGCCCCGGCUAACUUCGUG